rnacentral:rRNA from 1 species
GAGAGUUUGAUCCUGGCUCAGGACGAACGCUGGCGGCGUGCCUAAUACAUGCAAGUCGAGCGGACAGAUGGGAGCUUGCUCCCUGAUGUUAGCGGCGGACGGGUGAGUAACACGUGGGUAACCUGCCUGUAAGACUGGGAUAACUCCGGGAAACCGGGGCUAAUACCGGAUGGUUGUUUGAACCGCAUGGUUCAGACAUAAAAGGUGGCUUCGGCUACCACUUACAGAUGGACCCGCGGCGCAUUAGCUAGUUGGUGAGGUAACGGCUCACCAAGGCGACGAUGCGUAGCCGACCUGAGAGGGUGAUCGGCCACACUGGGACUGAGACACGGCCCAGACUCCUACGGGAGGCAGCAG